AUUGAACGCUGGCGGCAGGCCUAACACAUGCAAGUCGAGCGGAGCGGCGGACGGGUGAGUAAUACCUAGGAAUCUGCCUGGUAGUGGGGGAUAACGAUCGGAGACGGACGCUAAUACCGCAUACUAUCAGAUGAGCCUAGGACGGAUUAGCUAGUUGGUGAGGUAAUGGUUCACCAAGGCUACGAUCCGUAACUGGUCUGAGAGGAUGAUCAGUCACACGGGAACUGUGACACGGUCCAGACUCCUGCGGGAGGCAGAAGUGGGUAAUAUUGGACAAUGGGCGAAAGCCUGAUCCAGCCAUGCCGCGUGUUUGAAGAAGGUCUUCGGAUUGUAAAGCACUUUAAGUUGGGAGGCGUUACCGACAGAAUAAGCACCGGCUAACUCGGGGCCAGCAGCCGCGGUAAUUC
rnacentral:rRNA from 1 species